CUCGCUUUUCACUUUCAUUUUAUCUCAAAUAAUGAAAGUUUCCAUCCUUCUCUUAUAUUAUCUCAAAUAAUUCUACCAGAGAUCCGAAUUCCAUCUUUCUCUAUAAUCAUCUUCCAAAAUAUAUGAAUGAGUUUCCAUGUUUAAUGAUGAUUGGUUCCAUAAACCCUAGAUCUAUAAAUCCAUACGUAUUCUGCCGUUUCUUCACAUCGAUUCGGUUGUUAAUCGAUUUAUCAAUCAUCCUCUGUUUCUUCACAUCGAUUUGGCUGUCAAUCGAUUUGUCAAGCAUUAUUUAAGGUACCGUUCAUGUGAUGGCAAGACGGACUUCAAAUUGUACCCGCUUAAACCAUGAGUGAAGUGAUUACUGAUUAUUGCAGUUGUUGGUCUUGCCUUGAAGUCGAGGUAUGUUUCUAGAAUAUAUGUCCAGUGUUUAGUAGAGGUGGCGAAGUAGUAUGUUCAGUAGAGGUGGCGAAAUAGUUGGUAGUCGUGUUGGGUGACAUGUUUUGAAAGCUUUUUAAAACCUGUUGGAUGCACUUAGUGGUGACCUUUACACGCAUAUGACACCACAAAGGGGCGUUCUUUUAAAAAUAACUGGUGGUCAUGUCACGCAUUGCGCAUUGGCUUUUGGGAUCAAAACGCAUCCAAGCGCAUCACACAUUUAAAAAACAAGCUGCUUGAUUCAGUUAUUUUUCUGUUUAUUAUUUUACUUGCAUACAUUUAUAAUUAAGUCGCGCAAAGACCUCUAUUCUCAUGACUUAUUUUUUUACUUGCAUACAUUUAUUAUUUUACUUGCAUACAUUUAUAAUUAAAUCGGUAUUUUAUUAAUACUGUACCGAACCGAAAGUACCGGUACGGAAAAAGUAGGUACCAAAAAAUAUUUUCAAUACUGAAAAAAUUCGGUAUCGGUACCAAGUACCAAAUGUUUAUCCCUAAUCAUACGUUUCUGGAAUGGACCUGGUGGUCUGUGGUGAUUAUGAAGUUUGGGAAUUUGUACUACUUAACGGACGAAUGGACCAAAGGAAAAGAUCUUUGUCUAACCUUUGGACAUUUUCUUUUGUUUGGAAAGGUUGAUGACUAUCUUUUUACUUUUUACCAUAUCACUUCUACAUCCUGAUGGUCUACAACUUUGUGAGCCAGAAAAGCCAGUUAAUGAAGAUGAUAGAAGAUCAUUUCCAAAGUUGAGGUUAUUGAAAUUAAAAAGUGAUUCUUCUUUAAAUAUUGAAGAUGAUAAAGAUCAAUCCGGGCACCAUGUAGUUGAAAUUGGAAGUCAUACUUUUGUCCUACAGCUUUAGAAGUUUAUUACUUUGGCUUGAUUGGAUAAAGUCGAGCAACUCAAGUGAAGAUUUUCGAUGCAUCAAUUGCGAAAAUACAAAUGCGAGUGGAACGAUCUGAAGGUAAGAACUAAGAAGAGGUAUGCUCUGAGAGGAUGGGAGAAGUUCAUGAAAGAAAUUGGAUUAACAAGUGGUUAAGGAUAUAAGGAUGAAAAAGUAUGUUACUAAUUUCAAAUGCUUAGGUUUGUGAUAUUGAUCUUAUGGGCUGUUUAGGAAAAAAAUGAUUUUUUGAGGAUGUUUAGCUUCUGAACUAAUCAUGUUUAAGAUAAAUGUGUUUUGCUAUGAAAA